rnacentral:rRNA from 1 species
UACGUAGGGAGCAAGCGUUGUCCGGAAUCAUUGGGCGUAAAGCGCGCGUAGGCGGCCCGAUAAGUCCGCUGUAAAAGUCAACGGCUCAACUGUUGAAAGCCGGUGGAUACUGUCGGGCUAGAGUACGGAAGAGGCAAGUGGAAUUCCCGGUGUAGCAGUGAAAUGCGUAGAGAUCGGGAGGAACAUCUGUGGCGAAGGCGACUGCCUGGACCAGCACUGACACUGAGGCACGAAAGCGUGGGGAGCAAACAGG